rnacentral:lncRNA from 1 species
UUUUUUUUUUUUUUUUUUUUUUUNCUUUUUAGGGCCACACUCGUGGCACAUGGAGGUUCCCAGCUCUAACUGGAGCCGUAGCCACCGGCCUACACGACAGCCACAGCAAUGCCAGAUCUGAGCCUCGUCUGUAACCUACACCACAGCUCAUGGCAACGCCGGAUCCUUAACCCACUGAGCAAGGCCAGGGAUGGAACCCCAAACUUCGUGGCUCCUAGUUGGAUUCGUUUCCGCUGCGCCACGACGGGAACGCCUCAUCCAUUUAUUUUCUAUUCUCUACCUACUAUCUAUCUAUCUCUCAUCUAUUAUCUAUUUAUCUAUUAGCUAUCACCUUCCUGUCAUUUUUCUACGUACUAUCUAUAUCUAUAUAUCUGUUCUAUCAUCUCUAUUUUCUACUAACCUCUUAUCUAUCUACCCAUCAUCUAGUUAUUAUCAUCUAUCUAUCCUCUCUCCAUUAUCUAUCUAUCUGUCUACCUAUUGAGAGAUAAAGGAGGAAAGAGUUAUUUUAACGACUUGGCUUAUAUGAUUUUUAGGGCUGUCAAGUCUAAAAUCCCUCAGGCAGGUGAGCAGACUGGAAAUUCAGACAGAGUCCAUGAUACAGUCGUCAGUCCAGGCAGUCUGGAAGCUCAGGCAGAACCUCUUCCUCUUGGGGGGACCUCAAGUCCUUUUUUCCUCAGAUACCCUUCAAUUGAUUGGAUAAGGCCCACCCACACUCCAGAGAGUCCUGUUUCACGCAAAUGCUACCGCUGUAAAAGUCCCUCGCAGACGUAAAAUACCUUCCCCGAGACAUCUAAAUGGUUUGACCAAGUCGAGCGCUGUGGCCUGGCCAAGGUGACAGGUGAAAUGAUCCAUCAUGGACUGCCUUGAAACAAAGCCACUUAGGUGGGCACAUGGGAGCGGCUGCCCUAGCUGCAGCCGGUGAUUUCAGAUCAGCCUUCUCCUUUAGGCCAACUGCAGACAGAUGAAAGCCAUUCAUUCUUGGACACGAGGAGGACAGAAAUCUGAAUGUGUCUCUUCCAUCGGCCCCUUCCCUUGUCCCCCAGGCCACAGAACUCGGUUGCGCAGCGGCUGUCAGCCACGGAAUUUGACCCAGUGUGUGAACAGCCUCAUGCUUCAUUCCAUCACUGCACUGCCUUUACCCAGCCCUGAAAAAUCUGUCCCCUCCCUAAAUCGUCACCUCCUCAUUUGGCCAAAAAGGAUCCUAUCAGCUCCCACCCACCCACAGGAGCAUGGAGAGGUUCCAGCCUUGUGUAUUUAGAACAACGUCUGGGAUGUGACAGAUGCACAGUAAUUAUGCUCUUGAUCUAAAAACAUAUCUUAGUUACAGAGACCAGAACCCCAUCUAGCUGGUUUGAGCAGAAAGGAAAUGGGACUGACAGUUUAUUCCUGACCAUUGUGGGAGAGAAACAGGGGGUGAUGCUUUCCGAGAAACCACGGCGAGAAGUGGGGCCAUUCACGAAAGGAGACAGAUCUAGACACAGACCCUCUUAAAGGGUCAGAGGACGAGGCUAGAUGCUUCGGAGGCAAGAACGAUAGGACCAGGGUCCAUGGCAUGAAAGGAAACCAGCCAGACCUCAUGGGGACCUUAGCAUGGAAAGGACACAGCUGUCACACCUCGCUCUGCUGCCUCCGUGACACCAGGGCUGGACGGCGGAUGCUGCCCCAGCCUCUCCAGAAAAGCCCACCUCAUUCUGUCAGCUGGAAGGUGUGUUCCUGGACUGCGAGCCUUUCGAAGCUCAGCUCCAGGACACCUGCAACGCUGGUGGACGGACCUGAAGGAGUCUGGCUCGGCGGACAGUCCCAGCCGCCACGCGUCCUGGGACACGGGUGUGUACCUCUCAGUCCUCUUGUCCAGGGAGGCGAGUCCGGAGGGGUUUCCGGCUUGCAGAUGGCAGGUUGGUGAGGCUUCCUGGCCUCUACAGUCAUGGGAGCCAGUUACUCAUAACAGGUGUCUCCCUCUCUCUCCGCCUCUCCCUUUCUCUCUCUCAAUGGAUACACAGAAAGAUAUGACAGGUAGAUAGAGAAACAAAAAGAAAGAUAUGAUCAUAGAACGAUAUAAAGAUAGUAGAAAGAUAUCGAUUGAUAGAUGGUUAAGAUAGAUUGGCAGAGAGAGAAAGGUGAACAGAUAAAUGGAUAGAAAGACAGGUAGAUACACAGAUGGAAAGAUACAUAGAUACAAAGUAGAAAGAACUAUAUAGAGAAGAUACAUAGAAAGAUACAGAAAUAGAGAUAGAAAGGCAAACAGGUAAGUGGAUAGAAAAAGAGACAUAGGGAGUUCCCGUCGUGGCGCAGUGGUUAAGAACCCGACUGGUAUCCAUGAGGAUGCGGGUUUGAUCCCUGGCCUCACUCAGGGGGUGAAGGAUCCGGCGUUGCCACAAGCUAUGGCGUAGGCUGCAGAUGCGGUCAGAUGCCACGUUGCUGUGGCUGUGGUGUAGACCUACAGCUGCAGCUCCAGUUCUACGCCUGGCCCGGAAACUUCCCUAAGUUGCAGGUACAGUCGUAAAAAGAAAAGAAGAAACAUAUUGCCUCACUAAUAAUUUGCUGUGUAACUGUGAAGGAUGAUUGCUAUGAUACAAUCUUGCUUUGAUUUUUCCUUAUCAAAUGCAACAACAGUUUCAUUUUUUUUCCUUUCUGAUUUCGGAGUCUCCUUGUGAGGUUCCUUCCUCUACACAUGAACUUAAAAAAAAAAAAAAAAAAAAAAAAAAAAGAGCUGUCCUGUAGGACUGCACAGACCUCACUGAUGCUUUGCUCGUGAGGGCUUUCCACCUCUGAGGACACAGCGUCUGCAGGGCCCAGGCCACCCCAACAGACCCCAGGGGCCGCCAGGACUGGGUGUGGUGCUGAAGAGGUCCUGCUCUUCCAAACAGUCGGGCUCUGCAGAGCUUCCCCGCGGCUGCCUCACCACCCUUUGGAAAACACGACCCAUGACUUCCCCUCCUGCCAGCAGCCAGCGCCUGCCUCUCCCUGCCAAGGCCCC